rnacentral:rRNA from 1 species
GCAAGUCGAACGGGGCUCAGAGAACAGAGGACUUGUCCAAAGUUUUCGAAAGCCUAGUGGCGGACGGGUGAGUAACACGUGAGCAACCUGCCUUGGACUGGGGAAUAACUGUGGGAAACCAUAGCUAAUACCGCAUAAAGUCACGAGAGGACAUCCUCCUGUGACCAAAGGAGCAAUCCGGUCUUAGAUGGGCUCGCGUCCGAUUAGAUAGUUGGUGAGGUAACGGCUCACCAAGUCUGCGAUCGGUAGCCGGACUGAGAGGUUGAACGGCCACAUUGGGACUGAGACACGGCCCAGACUCCUACGGGAGGCAGCAGUGGGGAAUAUUGGGCAAUGGGCGAAAGCCUGACCCAGCAAUGCCGCGUGAAGGACGAAGGUCUUCGGAUUGUAAACUUCUUUGAUCAGGGACGAAUAAAUGACGGUACCUGAAGAACAAGCCACGGCUAACUACGUGCCAGCAGCCGCGGUAAUACGUAGGUGGCGAGCGUUAUCCGGAUUUACUGGGUGUAAAGGGCGUGUAGGCGGAUUCUCAAGUUGGAUGUGAAACCCCUUGGCUAAACUGAGGGCUUGCAUUCAAAACUGAGGACCUUGAGUAUCAGAGGGGAAAGUGGAAUUCCUGGUGGAGCG